GUUUGUGAGGAAAAACAGGGAUUUGGGAAUGUUUGUGAGGAACAAGAGGGAUUUGGGAAUGUUUGUGAUGAAAAAGGGGGAUUUUGGGAAUGUUUGUGAGGAAAAACAGGUAUUUGGGAAUGUUCGUGAGGAACAAGAGGGAUUUUGGGAAUGUUUGUAAGGAAUAAUUGGAAUUUGGGAAUGUUUGUGAGGAACAAGAGGGAUUUUGAGAAUGUUUGUGAGGAAAAACGGAUUUUGGGAAUAUUUAUGAGGAACAAGAGGGAAUUUUGGGAAUGUUUUUGAGGAACAAGAGGGAUUUGGGAAUGUUUGCGAGGAACAAGAUGGAUUUUGGGAAUGUUUGUGAGGAACAAGAGGAUUCCGUGCCCGGAGUCACUUUUUCCAUGG